rnacentral:lncRNA from 1 species
CAACGCCGCAAUCGGCCAUCUUUGUUCUAAUUAAUUUUUCCCCGUGUAAAUUCCCAUAAGGAAUCGGGGUCCCUUUACAUUUAAUUCAUUUUCUACUUAUUGGUGUCUUAAAUCCAAUAUAUUUCUCGUGGAUCUUGUUCCCCGAAUAACUGGUUGUUUUGAUUCUGGAAUGUCAAAACAGACAUGUUGUGUGUUUGUGUGUCUGAAUAGGUCAGCCAAGUUAUGUAUUUAACUAAAGAUGUUGACUGGGCAUCUGGCACCAACACGUAAUCAUGAGAAUAAUUCCAUUGGGAUGGCUACUGUUAAAAGAAUUAGUCGCUCUGUAAGAAGGCAGAUUGCUAGUUAAUGUUAAAAGAUACACCCACACGUUCCAAAAGAAGCAGUAACUGAUGUCAUGAAAGAUAACGCUGGAGAUACCCAAUGCAGAACACCUUUGAUUAACACAUCAACAAAUUGGUGAAUCAACAAACGAGCAGCAUCCAUCUACCUGCAACACAGCUCUUGCAUUAGAAAACCAGGCAUUGGUUCUUCGAAUAAAAGUAUUGAAAAAUGAAAAGACAAUAACUAGUUGAAACAGUGUCACAUCUUCAGUAUCUGUAUUAAAAACUUCUUUUCACCUCGUUUAAUACAAUGUUUCUCUAGAAAAAAGAA